rnacentral:rRNA from 1 species
CCUACGGGAGGCUGCAGUGGGGAAUAUUGCACAAUGGGCGAAAGCCUGAUGCAGCCACGCCGCGUGAGCGAUGAAGGCCUUCGGGUCGGUAAGCUCUGUCCUCAAGGGAGAUAAUGACGGUACUUGAGGAGGAAGCCACGGCUAACUACGUGCCAGCAGCCGAGGUUAUACGUAGGCGGCUAGCGUUAUCCGGAGUUACGGGGCGUAAGGGGUGCGUAGGUGGUUUCUUAAGUCAGAGGUGAAAGGCUACGGAUAAACCGUAGUAAGCCUUUGAAACUGGGAAACUUGAGUGCAGGAGAGGAGAGUGGAAUUCGUGGUGUAGCGGUGAAAUGCGUAGAUAUUAGGAGGAACUCCAGUUGCGAAGGCAGCUUACUGGACUGUAACUGACACUGAGGCACGAAAGCGUGGGGAGCAAACAGGAUUAGAUACCCCUGUAGUC